GAUGAACGCUAGCGGCAGGCUUAACACAUGCAAGUCGAGGGGCAGCAUGAAGGUUAGCAAUAACCUUUGAUGGCGACCGGCGCAAGGGUGCGUAACGCGUGAGCAACUUGCCCGUUUCAGGGGGAUAACCGGUGGAAACGCCGACUAAUACCCCAUGGCAUCGUCUGGAGGCAUCUCCAUUCGAUUAAAGAGUUUCGGAAACGGAUAGGCUCGCGUGACAUUAGCUAGACGGCGGGGUAACGGCCCACCGUGGCGACGAUGUCUAGGGGUUCUGAGAGGAAGGUCCCCCACACUGGAACUGAGACACGGUCCAGACUCCUACGGGAGGCAGCAGUGAGGAAUAUUGGUCAAUGGUCUGACGACUGAACCAGCCAUGCCGCGUGAAGGUGACGGCCCUAUGGGUCUUAAACUUCUUUUGCAAGGGAGCAAUAAGCCUCACGUGUGGGGCGAUGAGAGUACCUUGCGAAUAAGCAUCGGCUAACUCCGUGCCAGCAGCCG
rnacentral:rRNA from 1 species